UGAGUACGAGCGGCUACGGCCGCGAAGUGGAUGAUGUCAAGCUUCCAAGAAAAGCCCUAUACCCGUUAAGGCAUGAUGGCCUGUACCCGAAACCGACACAGGUGGGGUGGUAGAGAAUACCGAGGGGCGCGAGGUAACUCUCUCUAAGGAACUCGGCAAAAUGGCCCCGUAACUUCGGGAGAAGGGGUGCCACCGCGAGGUGGUCGCAGUGAAGAGGCCCAGGCGACUGUUUACCAAAAACACAGGUCUCCGCUAAGUCGCAAGACGAUGUAUGGGGGCUGACGCCUGCCCAGUGCCGGAAGGUUAAGGAAGCUGGUCAGCGCAAGCGAAGCUGGCGAUUGAAGCCCCGGUGAACGGCGGCCGUAACUAUAACGGUCCUAAGGUAGCAAAAUUCCUUGUCGGGUAAGUUCCGACCCGCACGAAAGGCGUAACGAUCUGGGCGCUGUCUCGGAGAGAGGCUCGGCGAAAUAGAAUUGUCUGUGAAGAUGCGGACUACGUGCACCCGGACAGAAAGACCCUAUGAAGCUUUACUGUAGCUUGGUAUUGUGCUCGGGCUCGGAAUGCGCAGGAUAGGUGGGAGGCUUUGAUCCAUUGCUUGCGGGUGAUGGUGAGCCACUGGUGAGAUACCACUCUUUCCGAGCUAGAGUUCUAACAGCAACCCGUUAUCCGGGUGCUGGACAGUAUCAGGUGGGCAGUUUGACUGGGGCGGUCGCCUCCUAAAAGGUAACGGAGGCGCGCAAAGGUCUGCUCAGGCUGGUUGGAAAUCAGCCGACGAGUGUAAAAGCAGAAGCAGGCUUGACUGUGAGACCUACAAGUCGAACAGGGAGGAAACUCGGCUUUAGUGAUCCGACGGUUCUGCGUGGAAGGGCCGUCGCUCAACGGAUAAAAGUUACUCUAGGAUAACAGGCUGAUCUCCCCCAAGAGUUCACAUCGACGGGGAGGUUUGGCACCUCGAUGUCGGCUCAUCGCAACCUGGGGCUGAAGUCGGUCCCAAGGGUUGGGCUGUUCGCCCAUUAAAGCGGUACGCGAGCUGGGUUCAGAACGUCGUGAGACAGUUCGGUCCAUAUCCGGUGCACGCGCAGGAAUAUUGAGAGGAUUUCUCCCUAGUACGAGAGGACCGGGAGGAACGCACCUCUGGUGUGCCAGUUAUCGUGCCAACGGUAAACGCUGGGUAGCCAUGUGCGGAGUGGAUAACCGCUGAAAGCAUCUAAGUGGGAAGCCCACCUCAAGAUGAGUAUUCCCAUGGCAUAAGCCAGUAAGGUCACGGGAAGAACACCCGUUGAUAGGCUCUACGUGGAAGCGCAGUAAUGUGUGAAGCGGAGGAGUACUAAUAGACCGAGGGCUUGAC
rnacentral:rRNA from 1 species